UACAGGGGGUGCAAACGUUGCUCGGAAUUAUUGGGCGUAAAGCGCGCGUAGGCGGCUACUUAAGUCGGAUGUGAAAGCCCCUGGCUCAACUGGGGAAGUGCACCCGAAACUGAGUGGCUUGAGUGCGAAAGAGGGUCGCGGAAUUCCCGGUGUAGAGGUGAAAUUCGUAGAUAUCGGGAGGAACACCGGUGGCGAAGGCGGCGACCUGGGUCGACACUGACGCUGAGGAGCGAAAGCCAGGGGAGCAAACGGG
rnacentral:rRNA from 1 species